rnacentral:rRNA from 1 species
AGAGUUUGAUCAUGGCUCAGAUUGAACGCUGGCGGCAGGCCUAACACAUGCAAGUCGAACGGUAACAGAAAGCAGCUUGCUGCUUUGCUGACGAGUGGCGGACGGGUGAGUAAUGUCUGGGAAACUGCCCGAUGGAGGGGGAUAACUACUGGAAACGGUAGCUAAUACCGCAUAACGUCGCAAGACCAAAGAGGGGGACCUUCGGGCCUCUUGCCAUCGGAUGUGCCCAGAUGGGAUUAGCUAGUAGGUGGGGUAAAGGCUCACCUAGGCGACGAUCCCUAGCUGGUCUGAGAGGAUGACCAGCCACACUGGAACUGAGACACGGUCCAGACUCCUACGGGAGGCAGCAGUGGGGAAUAUUGCACAAUGGGCGCAAGCCUGAUGCAGCCAUGCCGCGUGUAUGAAGAAGGCCUUCGGGUUGUAAAGUACUUUCAGCGGGGAGGAAGGGAGUAAAGUUAAUACCUUUGCUCAUUGACGUUACCCGCAGAAGAAGCACCGGCUAACUCCGUGCCAGCAGCCGCGGUAAUACGGAGGGUGCAAGCGUUAAUCGGAAUUACUGGGCGUAAAGCGCACGCAGGCGGUUUGUUAAGUCAGAUGUGAAAUCCCCGGGCUCAACCUGGGAACUGCAUCUGAUACUGGCAAGCUUGAGUCUCGUAGAGGGGGGUAGAAUUCCAGGUGUAGCGGUGAAAUGCGUAGAGAUCUGGAGGAAUACCGGUGGCGAAGGCGGCCCCCUGGACGAAGACUGACGCUCAGGUGCGAAAGCGUGGGGAACAAACAGGAUUAGAUACCCUGGUAGUCCA